UGACGUCCCAGGAGCCCACGGAGCAGCUGGAGACCGGCCACCCCGAGGAUGGCAGGGCCGGGCUCUCCGGGGAGGACGGCGGGGCCGAGGACGUGCUGGGCAUGAAUGGGGCUCUUCCUCGGUCUCACCUGCCUGUGUCCCCAUCCUGCCCCUGACACCGGCACUCGGAUUUCCCUGCCUCCUCUUGCAAGACCUUUCUGGUGAUGCUUUAACCUGGAGGUUGACACGCGUCUUCCCUCUAGGAGGGGCUUAUGGCUCUCCUUCCACAGCCUGGUGUGUCCGUAGAUGAGAGGUAGAAUGGGGAGUUUAAGGAACUUCGGCGUCUCAGCUAAGUUCCUGAAUCCCAGGGAAGGCACGAGGCUGUAAGAACUUGGUCAAACGAGCAUGAGGAAGUUCCCGAGACUUAAAUCUUCCCCCCAGAGUCACAGACCUUCCGCUUCUCUAUCCCCUGCUUCCUUUGAGCCCCUCCGGGUCCCCUCCCGUGCCCACCUGUCCAGCGGCUGUGACCACACAGUGCAAGGCCGUGUCGUCCUCGGCAACCUCACUUAUCUCCGAAACAGCCAUCAAAGCAGGACUCCGAGGAGAAGCUGGUUCUCUGCUCAGUUGUGUCUAACUUGGGCAGAUCGACACCUUCCUUCCUGAGCACACUUGGAUCCUCACACACGAAGAUUUCCUUGUUAUGCCCAACAGACAGCAUCUUUUCUGUCUGAAGUCUGUUUUGUAAGCCACAAAAACCUGUGUGAUGUUACAGCGGACAGACUGAACCAAGUGUCGCGAUCUGCUCUGGGGAAAAUGUUGCCUCCGUCAGCUGAUGAAGAAAUAAUAGUGAAGCGCGCAGGCCGCAGAAGUCACAGUGCUACUGUCAUAGGACCAGGACAGUCCCCUAAACGUGGCCCUUCUUCCCAGGUGAGCUCCUCCUUAGAAUAUUCUGGCGCCCAGAGUCUUGGCGACCACCCCAGCUUUGUGUCUUCCUCAUGCUUGGGAAGCUCCUCUGCGUCCUCAGCCGGCAUUGGGUAACAGGGCUCAUUUGGACCGAGAAAAGCCCCAACUCAAGACGACCUAACGUCCCAACACUCUUUCCCAAUGCAACUGCUGAGCAGACAGUAUCUCACUCCCGGAGGGAAGGUCUGGAGUCCCCGCUAACCCAGGCGCUCCCUGUAGGUAGGGAGAACCUCUUUUUGGGUCAUGUGAGCAGACAGGAUCUGAAGUCCCAGGUGACUCUCUGGUGUCCUUUGAGAUGCAGCCUUGUCCUCUGUUCCCAUGUUAGUGACAUUCGUGUAAUAUAAUUGCUUCCUAAAGGA